rnacentral:rRNA from 1 species
CCCUUAGAUGUUCUGGGCAGCACGCGCGCUACAAUGGUCUUCGCAAACGGAUGCAUUCACGAAGGAGAAUGCCAAUCUUGGAAUCUAUGCCUUGGUCGGGACAGUUGCUUGCAAUUUUUCGACUCGAACCAGGAAUUCCUUGUAAUCGUGAUUCAUCACAUCACGAUGAAUACGUCCCUGCCCUUUGUACACACCGCCCGUCGCUCCUACCGAUCGAAGAGUUAGGUGAAUUGUUUUGAUCGAUAAGAUUUGACUAUGGUCAACUCUCGUUGUGAAAUUCUGUGAAUCUGACUGUUUAGAGGAAGGAAAAGUCGUAACA